UACGAAGGGGGCUAGCGUUGCUCGGAAUUACUGGGCGUAAAGCGCACGUAGGCGGCUCUUUAAGUCGGAGGUGAAAUCCUGGAGCUCAACUCCAGAACUGCCUUCGAUACUGAAGAGCUCGAGUCCGGGAGAGGGUGAGUGGAACUGCGAGUGUAGAGGUGAAAUUCGUAGAUAUUCGCAAGAACACCAGUGGCGAAGGCGGCUCACUGGCCCGGUACUGACGCUGAGGUGCGAAAGCGUGGGGAGCAAACAGG
rnacentral:rRNA from 1 species